GCAAUGCUCGCAAGAGUGAACUAGCUAACUGAAAUCACUUGUGUGUCACUCGUGAUGUCGUAAGGGAAAAUAAUGAUAUUACCUUACUAAUAGUGUCGUCAAAAGCUGGUGCCAGAAGACUCGGUAAGACCAGAGACGCAAACGUUAAUCAUCAUAAACAGGCGUAAAGGGUUUGUAGGCUGCUUUGAAAAUCCACAAUUUAAAAUAGCUUUAGUAAAUUUGGAUCAAUUAAAGCUAGAAUCAAAUAGAGGUUAUAUUGUAUAAUACUUAGAGGAGGGAUUAAAUCCGUAGAUCCUAAGGGGAAUACUAAGGGCGAAAGCAAUUUACCAUUAAUGAUUGACGCUGAGAAACGAAGGUGAGGAUAGGAAAUAGGAUUAGAUACCCUAGUACCCCUCUCUGUCAACGAUGAAUGGUAGUUCCUAGCCGGCUUGGCCACUAGAGACGAUGUUAACACGUUAACCAUUCCGCCUUGUGAGUACGAUUGCAAAAUUGAAAACAAAAAAAUUAGUCGG
rnacentral:rRNA from 1 species